rnacentral:misc_RNA from 1 species
GGACGUCGGUCUCCUUCUCCUUGAUCUUCCUGAGCUUCCUCUUGAUGAUGGAGGAGGCGAGGUCGAUGCUGGCGUAGGUGGACUCGGCGUCCUCCUCGGCGCGGAUGACGCCGUGGCGCUUGGUGAAGAGAGUGAUCUCGCACCUGCAAAUCUUGGGACCUCGGCUGAGCUCGCCACCGCGGGCGGAGAGGCGCACGUCCA